rnacentral:rRNA from 1 species
GACGAACGCUGGCGGCGUGCUUAACACAUGCAAGUCGAACGGAAAGGCCCUGCUUUUGUGGGGUGCUCGAGUGGCGAACGGGUGAGUAACACGUGAGUAACCUGCCCUUGACUUUGGGAUAACUUCAGGAAACUGGGGCUAAUACCGGAUAGGAGCUCCUGCGGCAUGGUGGGGGUUGGAAAGUUUCGGCGGUUGGGGAUGGACUCGCGGUUUAUCAGCUUGUUGGUGGGGUAGUGGCUUACCAAGGCUUUGACGGGUAGCCGGCCUGAGAAGGUGACCGGCCACAUUGGGACUGAGAUACGGCCCAGACUCCUACGGGAGGCAGCAGUGGGGAAUAUUGCACAAUGGGCGGAAGCCUGAUGCAGCAACGCCACGUGCGGGAUGACGGCCUUCGGGUUGUAAACCGCUUUCGCCUGUGACGAAGCGUGAGUGACGGUAAUGGGUAAAGAAGCACCGGCUAACUACGUG